AGCUAAAAAGGGAAACGAAGAAAGGUAGAGGGUGGUGGCCGCCACCAGAAAUCGUUUCUGACGGUGGUGUGCAUUUCGUCUCGGUCGGGCAUAGUAAAGGUCCACGGAAAAGGCUAAAGGCCGACGAUGCCUCCAUCGAAAAUCGCCUCCGACCGCGGCGCGUGGCGGUGCACGGCGACACUCGCGGUGGCUGGAAAUCGCCUACGGUAGCAGUGCAUAAUGGUGUUCACGGGAAGCACUGUUUUCCUGUUGGUCCAAGCUCAUGUUUUUGGAAGCAUAUAUGGCACAAGCAUGCUCUUGGGGACAUGUUGGUGGCUAGGGCAGAGGAGCUCAGCAAGCUUGUUAGAGAAGAAAUAACCGUACAGAAAAGUGUGGGAUGGUAGAGAUUUUAGGUGCAGAGGAAAAGAUUAUUUUGUUAUUUUCUUGUUUUUUUUUAUUUUCUUUUAUUAUUUUUUCUAUUUAUUAUUUAUGCUUAUUGUGUGUAUUUUUGAGUUUAAAUCUAGUUUGUAAAUGAUUUUUUCUUGAA